rnacentral:piRNA from 1 species
UGAAAAGCCCAACAAGCGAAAGCCCUCUGGU